rnacentral:rRNA from 1 species
ACAAUGCGGAACAAUGUUUUGCAAUUGGAUUGAGAACAACGUACAAACCUUAUCGAUAAACAAUUGGAGGGCAAGUCUGGUGCCAGCAGCCGCGGUAAUUCCAGCUCCAAUAGCGUAUAUUAACGUUGUUGCAGUUAAAAAGCUCGUAGUUGAAAUGAAGGGUAGUUGUGUAAUGAAUACAUUCGUGUAUUUUGUUAUUCAACUACCCUCCUUCUAAAUUCGAUAUAUGAGUAUUAAUUUACUUGUAUAUGGUUUUAGACCUUUACUGUGAGAAAAUUAGAGUGUUCAAAGCAGGCAUUUGCUUGAAUAUAUUAGCAUGGAAUAAUCAUGUAUGAUUUUCAUGAUGUAUUUGAUUGGUUUGGUUCAUGAGAAUAAGAUUAAAAGGGACAGUUGGGGGUAUUCAUAUUCAAUAGUCAGAGGUGAAAUUCUCGGAUUUAUGGAAGAUGAAC